rnacentral:rRNA from 1 species
UACGUAGGGGGCAAGCGUUGUCCGGAUUUAUUGGGCGUAAAGAGCUCGUAGGCGGUUCCGUAAGUCGUGAAGUCAAAUCUCUGGGCUCAACCCAGAAUCGCUUCCGAUACUGCGGUGACUGGAGUCCGGUAGGGGAGUGUGGAAUUCCUGGUGUAGCGGUGAAAUGCGCAGAUAUCAGGAAGAACACCGGUGGCGAAGGCGGCUCUCUGGGCCUUACCUGACGCUGAGGAGCGAAAGCGUGGGUAGCGAACAGG